CAGUUUUAGAGCUUAUGUCUAUGAAUAAGUUUGAUUCCUUUCUAUAACAGUACCGCAAGACAUUUUCAGACUUUCUUGAGACGGGACAUGUCCAGUGUGUUAACCAGCAUGUGUGGAGCAGACACUGGGUUCUGAGGGAGAAAGAGGAGGGGACAUACAAUACAAGAGAUUGUAAAGAAGAAAUUAAACAUCAGGUGGGAGGGUGAGUGAAAGGUCAAUGAGAACCACGCACCACCACAGACUCAUCUUUUACAAGCUGCCUCCAUUUCCUGAAAGCCUACUAAAAAGCCUUCUCUCUGAUUCUAAUUUGCUACUUUUAUCAUUUAGACAUUCCAUUUCUGGCAACGACGUAACUGUUGUACAUUUCUGAGAUGCAGAGCUGAAUUAGCGAAUACAAUAGAACAACGACAUUUAAUUCUAUGUCAUUGCAGUUUGUGCCACUUUUUCUGUCUAUGUACCAUUAGCUUUGUUACUUCUUACUUUUUACGCAAUCCUUCUUCACGUAACACUGUUGUAGAUUUAAAAAUUCCUCCACAGAAUAAUUGUUGCACACUGCAGAUUAAAAAAUAAAAUGAUAACAUGAAUCAAUA